UUUGUAUAUACACAUCUGCUGGCUAGUCUUUACUUUUCAUAUUGAAGAUUUUUUCUUUCUCUCUCUUUCCUCUCUCCCUCUCCUCUCUCUACCCACACACACCACCUCUCUCCCUCUCCUCUCUCUACCCACACCACCAGCCCACCGCCCCACCAGCCCAGGCCCUCAACCCACCGCCUUCCGACCACCGCCAGUCCACCGUCGGCGGCGCAACCCUUGCAUUUUCAGAGUAAAAUAUAUAUAACAAGCAUCUGCAAUGGGUUCUGGAUACUGGCUUAAAAAUGUAAUCAGUUUGAGAAAAGCUAAAGAUGACAGAUCGAAAAGAUUAAAGAGAACGUCUAUUGGAAGAAAGGGGGAUGACCAGAAAAAGUGGCGCCUCUACCAAAAAUCAUAGGAAACAGGGAAUGCCUUCUGAGGAUAACGCAGCCACAAGGAUCCAGUCACAUUGACCUUUUUGAUUAAUGUGAUUUUGGAUUCUAAUUCUGCUAUGUUUAAAUGGAUAUGUAUAUUAUGUUUAAGGGUUUGAAUGUAGUUUUAAUUUGAACUAGAAGUACUUUUAAUUUUAAGAUGUUUAAAUGUUUGAACGUAGUUUAUGAUGUUUAAGUGUUUGAAUGGACAAUGUUUAAGUGUUUGAACAUUGUUUAUGGUUGUUGUGUUGAAUUGUUGAUGAAUUGGAUGACUGUUUUGAUUGAUGAAUUUGGUUAUUUGAAAAUUGG